CUUUGACGACCACGGGGACACCGGUGUCCCAAAUAGAAAUAAUACAAUAAAACAGUAAUUAAAAAACUUAUUUUAUCUUUUUGUUAUUUUAUCUUAUAGUUUUUGAACGUACGUUUUUCAUUUUAUAUGCUGGCAACACAAAAAAAAUAUUGUUCUUUGUCUAUGGCUAUCGAAAACUGAGACUUCGUUAAGCGCGCGAAUCGAGUAUUUUGUAACAGUACAUAAAAGGUGUAAAACUAUUUUUUAAGAAUUUACAGUGUGAAAUAAUCAUAGCCUGAUUAUGUUUCGCAAAGGACGCGGCCUUUUCGAACUUAAAGAAAAUGAAGUGCAACAGAUUUUGAUGGCUGAUAACAGUGACGAAGAGGACAAUUUACUGCUUGACGAAGAUCAAAGGCUUUUGACUCAGGAUGAUGAUCAAGGGAUUGUGGACGUGGAAAUUGACGGUACGAUAACUGAACAUACUGACUCAACAAGACCUGAGCCUUCCACAUCAGCACCUGUAAACGAAGCACAGCAUCAACCCGUCUUCAAGUGGAAUUCGAGAACAUACGCACCAAAUGUUUUUCGUGAUGUGGAAUACGACUUCGGGAAAGUGCAAAUCUGUCAAGAAGCUGAAAAUGGACUAUUGACUCCCUUUGAUAUAUUUUGUUCAGCGACAAAUUUUUAUAAUUUAGUGCAAUAUAUAGUACCGGAGUCAAUACAAUAUGCUCAUCAAAAUGGACGGGAGUUUACUAUUGAUCUCGAAGAAAUGAAAGCAUUUCUUGGGAUGAAUGUAGUCAUGGGCUAUCAUAUCUUGCCAUCAUUGAGGGACUACUGGUCUACAGAACCAGACAUGGCAGUACAAUUCAUAUCGAAUGUUAUGCCAAGGGCUCGAUUUGAAGACAUUCGCCGGAACCUACAUUUCUGUAACAACGAAGCGGUAAGAGACACAACUAGCUCUAAUUAUGAUAGGGCAUACAAAGUUCGGCCAAUAAUAGAGCAUUUCAAUGUAUCGUUUCAAAAUGCCCUCAAUAACACAGUAAAACAAUCAAUCGACGAGCAUAUGAUAAAAUUUAAGGGUCAUAAUGUAAUGAAGCAAUACAUAAAAAAUAAGCCUGUCAAAUGGGGCUUCAAAUUAUGGUGCCGAUGUGAUGCUGCGACCGGUUAUCUAUUUGAAUUUGAUCUAUAUACGGGCAAACGAACUUCUGGAAUCGAGUAUGGAUUAGGUGAAUCAAUAGUACUACAGCUAACGAAAAAGGUUGAAGGCUUAGGAUGUGAAAUUUAUAUGGACAACUUCUUUAAUUCACCUUUACUACAAUAUAAGCUGAUUGAUCAGAAUACUAAGGCGUGUGGAACAAUUCGAACUAACAGGAAACAACUUCCAAAAACUGCACCUGCUGACAAAACAAUGAAGAGUGGCGAUAUUUACUCAACGAGUUUCCAUGGCAUAAGUUAUGUCAAAUGGAUGGAUAAUAAAGGAGUACAUUUGUUGACCAACUUUUGAAGCCUGUAGAAACGGACAUCGUAAAGCGCCGCAAAGCUGAUUCAGCCGACAAAAUUGAUGUCAAAUGUCCUAGGAUUGUGUCACAUUUAAUAAAAAUAUGGGUGGAGUAGAUCUUAUGGAUCAACGUAAGGUGUGCUAUGAAAUAGAUCGAAGAUCGAAGAUAGAGUACUACCUUCGCCUUUUCUUCGAUUUGUUCGAUAUAUCGGUAAAUAAUGCGCAUACCAUAUAUACUAAGCUGCACAGUGAAAAGCAAUUAGAGGGAAGCCUGCUGUCCACCUUACAGUUCAGACAGGUAGUCGCCAGGAGUUUGGUAAACGGCUACAGUACUAGACAACGUGGAGUCCCUACUACAAAAAAUAGUGCAGUGAGCAAAUAUGUGAAGCGGCAAUUAUCGAUGCACCCCAUGGAAAAAUCCUCCACCAGAAAGAGUUUUAGGACUUACAAACAACCGUUAUGUGAACAAAACUAUAAUACUUUCCUUAGCAACUUUGUUGCGAGAGUAUAAAAACAACACGAAACAGUUCCGUGUUCUGGUUCCCAAAUCAAAAUAAAAAAAAAAAGUAAGGAAGGGCUAAGUUCGGGUGUCACCGAACAUUUUAUACUCUCGCAUGGUAAAGUGAUAAUCGAGAUUUCAUAAUACGUCAUUUACAUAUUUUUCAAAUACCGUAUUUUUGUAAAGUUUUAUUCCGCUAUCAUCAUUGGUUCCUAAUGUUUAUACUCGUAUUAUACAGAGAAGGCAUCAGAUGGAAUUCAAAAUAGCUUUAUAUUGGAAGAAGGCGUGGUUGUGAACCGAUUUCACCCAUAUUUCGUACAUGUCAUCAGGGUGUUAAGAAAAUAUUAUAUACCGAAUGUCAUUAAAAUCGGUCUAGUAGCUUCUGAGAUAUGGUUCUUGGUCCAUAAGUGGGCGGCGCCACGCCCAUUUAAAAUUUAAAAAAAAAGCCUGGGUGCAGCUUCCUUCUGCCACUUCUUCCGUAAAAUUUAGUGUUUCUGACGUUUUUUGUUAGUCGGUUAACGCACUUUUAGUGAUUUUCAACAUAACCUUUGUAUGGGA